UUAUGGCCAUAUCGCGUUGAAACACCGGUACCCGUACGAUCACCGAAGUUAAGCAACGUCGAGCUUGGUUAGUACCUAGAUGGGUGACCGCUUGGGAAUGCCAGGUACUGUAAG